GACCAACCCUAGCGCCGCGUCUAAUACACGCUAGGCGAACGAACCGCGACUAAAUGCUUGCAAUAAGUCAAGGUGAGUGUCGAACGGGUGAGUAACACGUGGGGAACAUACCUCAUAUUUGCGGAUAACAGUCGGAAACGACUGCUAAUACCGCAUAGGACAUAGCAUCACAUGAUCCAGUGAGGAAAGGUGGCGCAAGCUAUCGCUAAGAGAUGGACCCGCGGUGCAUUACCUAGGUGGUAGGGUAAAGGCCUACCAAGGCGAUGAUGCAUAGCCGACCUGCGAGGGUGAUCGGCCACAUUGGGACUGAGACACGGCCCAAACUCCUACGGGAUGCAUCAGUAGGGAAUCUUCCGCAAUGGAAGCAAGACUGACGGAGCAACGCCGCGUGAGUGCAGAAGGGCUUAGGAUCGUAAAGCUUUGUUGUUAGAGAAGAACAGCGCAUAGAGUAACUGCUAUGCGUGUGACGGCAUCUACCCAGAAAGCAACGGCUAACUACGUG
rnacentral:rRNA from 1 species